GAUGAACGCUGGCGGCGUGCCUAAUACAUGCAAGUAGAACGCUGAGGUAGGAGCUUGCUCUCCUGGAUGAUUUGCGAACGGGUGAGUAACGCGUAUGGAACCUGUCUCUUAGCGGGGGGUAACUCUUGGGAACGCUAGCUAUUACAGCAUAAUAUUAGAUGAUGCAUGAUAUUUACUAAAAAGGUGCAAUUGUACUAUUACCUGAUGGUCCUUCGUUGGAUUAUUUAGUUGGUGGGGUGACGGCUCAACAAGGCGACGAUACAUAGUCGACCUGAGAGGGGGAUCGGCCCAACUGGGACUGGGACACGGGCCAGACUCCUACGGGAGGCAGCAGGAGGGAAUCUUCGACAAUGGACGAAAGUCUGACCGAGCAAAGCCGGGGGGGUGAAGAAGGUUUUCGGAUCGUAAAGCUCUGUUGUAAGAGAAGAACGAGUGGGGGAGUUGAAAGUGCACACUGUGACGGUAUCUUACCAGAAAGCGACGGCUAACUACGUG
rnacentral:rRNA from 1 species